rnacentral:rRNA from 1 species
GUCUCUUUGUUAUAUAUAAAUAAAGAGUUGGGCCUGCUCGGUGAAUAAUUUUUAACAGCUGCGGUAUUUUAACUGUACUAAGGUAGCAUAAUAAUUUGCCUUAUAAUUUGAGGCUAGAAUGAAUGGUUUGACGAAGGUUAAUCUGUCUCUAUCUUAUUUUUUAGAAUUUAAUUUUUAAAGUGAAAAAGCUUGAAUUUUUUAAAGGGACGAGAAGACCCUAAUGAGCUUAUAAUUUUAUUAUUAUUAUUUAAUAUAUUUAAAUAAUAAUAUAUAAAUUUUAAUUGGGGUGAUUAAGGAAUAAAGAAUUAUAUAAUAACUUCCUUAGAUUAAAUAUAUAUAGAUAAAGUAACCAAUAAUAUAUUGCUUAUAAUAUAGUUACCAUAGGGAUAACAGCGUAAUUUGUUUAGAGAGUUCUUAUUGAAAAACAAGAUUGCGACCUCGAUGUUGGAUUAAAGUAACCUUAAGGUGCAGAAGCUUUAGUAAGGUAAAUCUGUUCGAUUUUUAAUACUUUACA